rnacentral:rRNA from 1 species
GUGGUAAUUCUAGAGCUAAUACAUGCUAAAAACCUCGACUUCGGAAGGGGUGUAUUUAUUAGAUAAAAAACCAAUGCCCUUCGGGGCUCCUUGGUGAAUCAUAAUAACUUAACGAAUCGCAUGGCCUUGCGCCGGCGAUGGUUCAUUCAAAUUUCUGCCCUAUCAACUUUCGAUGGUAAGAUAGAGGCUUACCAUGGUCUUAACGGGUAACGGGGAAUUAGGGUUCUAUUCCGGAGAGGGAGCCUGAGAAACGGCUACCACAUCCAAGGAAGGCAGCAGGCGCGCAAAUUACCCAAUCCCGACACGGGGAGGUAGUGACAAUAAAUACUGAUACGGGGCUCUUUUGGGUCUCGUAAUUGGAAUGAGUACAAUCUAAAUCCCUUAACGAGGAACAAUUGGAGGGCAAGUCUGGUGCCAGCAGCCGCGGUAAUUCCAGCUCCAAUAGCGUAUAUUAAAGUUGUUGCCGUUAAAAAGCUCGUAGUUGAACCUUGGGCCUGGCUGACCUGUCCUCCUAAUCGAGCGCACGGGUUCGGUCGGGCCUUUCCUUCUAGGGAACCCCAUGCCCUUCACUGGGUGUGGUGGGGAACUAGGACUUUUACCUUGAAAAAAUUAGAGUGUUCAAAGCAGGCCUUUGC